UACAUGUGUCAUUCAAAAUUUAA
rnacentral:snRNA from 1 species